ACAGGGUCUCGCUUUGUCGCCCAGACUGGAGUGCAGUGGUAUGAUAAACAGCUCACUGCAGGCUCAACCUCCCAGGCUCAAGCCAUCCUCCCACCUCAGCCCCCGAGUUGCUGAGACUAGAGGCAGGCACCAUCAUGCCAGGCUCCACUGGCAGAGCAGCAGAGCGGAACAGCAGAGAAGGAGGGAAGAGAAGAAGCAGCUGAACAUUGGAGAGAAGCAGCUUGACUUCAGAGGGACAACUUGACAGCAGGACUUUGGAGAAGAGUUUGGCCAGGGAUGGAACUAAGCUGGCCGAACUCCAAGGGAAGACUACCUUCCCACUCCAUCCUUCUCACUCCAUCCCCUUUCUAGCUGCCCAUCCUGCUGAGAGUCACUUUCAUAGGCAAUAAAAUCCCCCACAUUUACCAUCU
rnacentral:lncRNA from 1 species